rnacentral:rRNA from 1 species
GACGAACGCUGGCGGCGUGCCUAAUACAUGCAAGUAGAACGCUGAAGGAGGAGCUUGCUUCUCUGGAUGAGUUGCGAACGGGUGAGUAACGCGUAGGUAACCUGCCUGGUAGCGGGGGAUAACUAUUGGAAACGAUAGCUAAUACCGCAUAAGAGUAGAUGUUGCAUGACAUUUGCUUAAAAGGUGCAAUUGCAUCACUACCAGAUGGACCUGCGUUGUAUUAGCUAGUUGGUGAGGUAACGGCUCACCAAGGCAACGAUACAUAGCCGACCUGAGAGGGGGAUCGGCCACACUGGGACUGGGACACGGCCCAGACUCCUACGGGAGGCAGCAGUAGGGAAUCUUCGGCAAUGGACGGAAGUCUGACCGAGCAACGCCGCGUGAGGGAAGAAGGUUUUCGGAUCGUAAAGCUCUGUUGUAAGAGAAGAACGAGUGUGAGAGUGGAAAGUUCACACUGUGACGGUAUCUUACCAGAAAGGGACGGCUAACUACGUG